rnacentral:rRNA from 1 species
AUAAGUGUUAAUCUGAGAGUUAAACUUAUCACUGAAGUUAAGCAACGUCGAGCGUGGAUAGUACUUGGAUGGGUGACCGCUUGGGAACACCACGUAACGUUGGCU